AUUUAUAGCUAUUUAUUUAUAUAUAUUUAUUUCAGCUUGAAAUGCAUCUGAAACCAGACAGAAGCAUAUCAGACAUGUUCUUUAGAUUAAGAGUUAUAUAUGGAUACAUUGUACGUAGUACACAUGUGUUUGGAUAAGCCAGAAUUUGACGGUAAAACUAUCAACAGAAUUAACAGUAUCGGCAUAGGAACCAUUCCUAAAGGUGGACAGAGUGCAUUAAAAAUCUACAGAUUGGAGAAGGAAUGUGUUUUUAAGGUGAAGAUAACGAACAGUGAUCAAUCUCAUAACUCCUACAAGCAAUACAAAAUAGAUAGUUGGGCAAACACGGACCCCUGGACACACCAGAGGUGGGAUCAGGUGCCUAGGAGGAGUAAGCAUCCCCUGUUGACCGGUCACACCCGCCGUGAGCCCCAUAUCCUGAUCAGUUUGAGGCUUUAGAUACACUGCAGAUACAAGAACCAUUUUUGAAAAUUAAAUCCUGAACUGAAAUGAACCUCACCCUGGACGACAGAAAUAUGUCAUCCAGCAGCCUCAAUAUGUCAUCCAAUGUGUGUCAUGUUGAUAAAGUUAUACAGUCACAGUUACAAGGAGUGACCUUGAAUAAAUCAGAAGGUGCAUCCGAGUGUAUCUGUUUAAAGGUCAUAAACUCCACACCAAUCCCUGUAUCGAUAGGAACAUAUUCCGUGUCAUGGAGACGGAAAACAGAUGAGAGCUCUCCCUAUGUAGACACGGUGUUCCCACUGCCCACAGUCAAUACAGAGUACAGUUUCAUUUCCGUGUGCUGCCUGGUGAUCCGUAUGAACUCAAGUACAACUUGUUUCCUCUGGUGGCAGGUCAUGUAAAUUUACCCAAACUGAACUUCACCCUGCUACGAUACCCAGAUCCAAUCGACGCCAUUCUGCAGAAAAUGCUACCAACCCAUAUAUUCAUUAAGCCCUGUGGAAAGGUGUUGUCUCAAGGAACCUGAUGAGCUACAAACCUCUAACAUUUAAUGUGUAUACUAAGUUUUGUCUCAAGGAACCUGAUGAGCUACAGACCUCUGGAACAUUUAAUGUGUAGUAAGUGUUGUCGCUCUUUGUUACUGAGCCGGAGUCCGAGUAACAGACACUACUGACCAUGUCGUAUGUGAUUCUUCUGGAAGGAAUAUGUUUUUUUUUUAUUAUUGCUUUGUUUUCAUUAAAAUAUGUCUAAACAACAUGAUCUGUUUGUCCUGUAUGAAAUGGAUCAUUUCCAUAGAGGGGUUACGGGGGUUGUACAUGAGUGGUGGAUCUAGAGAGAGGUUGUACAUCAGUGGUGGAUAUAGAGAGGAGUUACAGGGGUUGUACAUGAGUGGCGGAUCUAGAGAGGGGUUACAGGGGUUGUACAUCAGUGGCGAAUCUAGAGAGGGGUUACAGGGGUUGUACAUCAGUGGUGGAUCUAGAGAGAGGUUGUACAUGAGUGGUGGAUCUAAAGAGGCGUUACGAAGGUUGUACAUGAGUGGUGGAUCUAGAGAGAGGUUGUACAUGAGUGGCGGAUCUAGA